rnacentral:rRNA from 2 species
UACUGGAACAUUAAUUGACGCUGAGACGCGAAAGCGUGGGGAGCAAACAGGAUUAGAUACCCUGGUAGUCCACGCCCUAAACGAUGUACACUAGUUGUUGUGAGGCUAGACCUUGCAGUAAUGCAGUUAACACAUUAAGUGUACCGCCUGGGGAGUACGGUCGCAAGAUUAAAACUCAAAGGAAUAGACGGGGACCCGCACAAGCGGUGGAGCAUGUGGUUUAAUUCGACGAUACGCGAAGAACCUUACCUGGACUUGACAUAGUAAGAAUAUUUAAGAGAUUAGAUAGUGUCUGCUUGCAGAAACUUGCAUACAGGUGCUGCACGGCUGUCGUCAGCUCGUGUCGUGAGAUGUUGGGUUAAGUCCCGCAACGAGCGCAACCCUCGUCGUUAGUUGCUAACAGUUCGGCUGAGAACUCUAACGAGACUGCCUGGGUAACCAGGAGGAAGGUGAGGACGACGUCAAGUCAUCAUGGCCCUUACGUCCAGGGCUACACACGUGCUACAAUGGGGCAUACAAAGAGCCGCGAUACCGCGAGGUGGAGCAAAUCUCAAAAAUGCCUCCCAGUUCGGAUAGUAGUCUGCAACUCGACUACUUGAAGUUGGAAUCGCUAGUAAUCGUAGAUCAGCAAUGCUACGGUGAAUACGUUCCCGGGUCUUGUACUCACCGCCCGUCACACCAUGGGAGUUGAACUCAUUCGAAGCGGGGAUGCUAAGAUAGCUACCCUCCACAGUGGAUUCAGCGACUGGGGUGAAGUCGUAACAAGGUACCCG